UACGUAGGGUGCGAGCGUUGUCCGGAAUUAUUGGGCGUAAAGAGCUCGUAGGCGGUGUGUCACGUCGGCCGUGAAAACCUGCAGCUUAACUGUGGGCGUGCGGUCGAUACGGGCAUCACUGGAGUUCGGCAGGGGAGACUGGAAUUCCUGGUGUAGCGGUGAAAUGCGCAGAUAUCAGGAGGAACACCGGUGGCGAAGGCGGGUCUCUGGGCCGAUACUGACGCUGAGGAGCGAAAGCGUGGGGAGUGAACAGG
rnacentral:rRNA from 1 species